UACUAGAGUAGCACUCGCAUAUCAAUAAGCGGAGGAAAAGAAACUAACAAGGAUUCCCCUAGUAACGGCGAGUGAAGCGGGAAGAGCUCAAAUUUGAAAUCUUAAAGGGUUUCCCUUUACGAAUUGUAGUUUAAAGAAGUGUUUUCUGUUGAGGUUUUGGUAAAAGUUCUUUGGAAUAGGACAUCAUAGAGGGUGAGAAUCCCGUAUUUGACCUUUACUUUCAACUUUGUGAUACACUUUCAAAGAGUCGGAUUGUUUGGGAAUGCAGUCCAAAAUGGGUGGUAAAUUUCAUCUAAAGCUAAAUAUUGGCGAGAGACCGAUAGCGAACAAGUACCGUGAGGGAAAGAUGAAAAGAACUUUGAAAAGAGAGUUAAACAGUACGUGAAAUUGUCAAAAGGGAAGCGUUUGACACCAGUGUUGUUUUUCUGAAAAUCAAUUAAAGAACUGUUUAUGCUAAGCUGUUUAGACUUUAUCAGCUAUCUGCUUAGUUUUGAGCUUUUCUUUAAUGCACUUUUCAGUUAACAAGUCAACAUCAAUUUCUUUUGCUGUAAAAAAGCUUGAGGAAGGUGGCUUGAGAUUCGUCUUAAGUGUUUAUAGCCUCUUGCCUAUGCAGUCGGAGAGAUUGAGGUCUGCAGCGUAGAUCCUUCGGGGCUAAAUGCAUUUGUGCUAAGUUAUAGCAUUUUAUAGACAACUUGUUGACUAUGAUUUGUCUUGUAGCUUACUCGCUUAUGUUAUUUUACCUACGCUUAGGAUGUUGAACUCUAUCACACACAG
rnacentral:rRNA from 1 species